UGGGGAAUAUUGGACAAUGGGCGAAAGCCUGAUCCAGCCAUGCCGCGUGUGUGAAGAAGGUCUUCGGAUUGUAAAGCACUUUAAGUUGGGAGGAAGGGCAGUAAGCGAAUACCUUGCUGUUUUGACGUUACCGACAGAAUAAGCACCGGCUACCUCUGUGCCAGCAGCCGCGGUAAUACAGAGGGUGCAAGCGUUAAUCGGAAUUACUGGGCGUAAAGCGCGCGUAGGUGGUUCGUUAAGUUGAAUGUGAAAGCCCCGGGCUCAACCUGGGAACUGCAUCCAAAACUGGCGAGCUAGAGUAGGGCAGAGGGUGGUGGAAUUUCCUGUGUAGCGGUGAAAUGCGUAGAUAUAGGAAGGAACACCAGUGGCGAAGGCGACCACCUGGGCUCAUACUGACACUGAGGUGCGAAAGCGUGGGGAGCAAACAGG
rnacentral:rRNA from 1 species